rnacentral:rRNA from 1 species
GAUGAACGCUGGCGGCGUGCCUAAUACAUGCAAGUCGAGCGAACGGACGAGAAGCUUGCUUCUCUGAUGUUAGCGGCGGACGGGUGAGUAACACGUGGAUAACCUACCUAUAAGACUGGGAUAACUUCGGGAAACCGGAGCUAAUACCGGAUAAUAUUUUGAACCGCAUGGUUCAAAAGUGAAAGACGGCCUUGCUGUCACUUAUAGAUGGAUCCGCGCUGCAUUAGCUAGUUGGUAAGGUAACGGCUUACCAAGGCAACGAUGCAUAGCCGACCUGAGAGGGUGAUCGGCCACACUGGAACUGAGACGCGGUCCAGACUCCUACGGGAGGCAGCAGUAGGGAAUCUUCCGCAAUGGGCGAAAGCCUGACGGAGCAACGCCGCGUGAGUGAUGAAGGUCUUCGGAUCGUAAAACUCUGUUAUUAGGGAAGAACAUAUGUGUAAGUAACUGUGCACAUCUUGACGGUACCUAAUCAGAAAGCCACGGCUAACUACGUG